rnacentral:lncRNA from 1 species
AAGAUGCUGUCUCUAUAAAAAAUUUAAAAAUUAGCUGGGCAUCAUGGCACAUGCUUGUAAUCCUAGCUACUUGAGAGGCUGAGGCAGAAGGAUCGCUUGAGACCAGGAGUUUGAGGGUGCAGUGAACUAUGAUGGCGCCACCACACUCCAGCCUGGGAGACAGAGUGAGACCCUGUCUCUAAAAGAAAAAAGAAAAUUCAAGAUACAGAGCCAGACAGGAGCCUGGAUGGCCAUCUUUCUUCCGAUAGCGAUAAGCUGGAUGCUGGGAUAGAAGCCUGAUACCUCCUCCAACCCUAGUCCUUGGCCUCUAGUUUACUCGCCUGAGGCAAGGGUAGAGUGGAGGAAGAUUUAGGGAAAGCAAGUAGUCCGUUUUAUUGUUAGGGACCAGAGAGGUUGGGGGUGCAGAUGAAACCAACAUCUGGUAAGGAGUGUGGCUGAUCAGCCUUGGGCUCUGCUUCAUCAUCCCACCUUUGCUUCCUAUCUCUGGAACUCUUCUAGGGGGAGAUUGAGUUACUUAGUAUGGUAUGGGGAGGUGCAGAGGGUAUGACUAAUAAAC